rnacentral:rRNA from 1 species
GACGAACGCUGGCGGCGUGCUUAACACAUGCAAGUCGAACGGAAAGGCCUGGCGCUUGCUGCGUGUACUCGAGUGGCACACGGGUGUGUAACAUGUGUGUGAUCCGCCUUGCUCUUGGGUAACAUCUUGGGAAACUGGGUCUAAUACCGGAGAAGCCCGCUCUGUAGUGUGAGGUGUGGAAAGUUUCGUCGGUUCAAGAUGAGCUCGCGGCUUAUCAGCUUGUUGGUGGGGUAGUGGCUUACCAAGGCUUCGACGGGUAGCCGGCCUGAGAGGGUGUACGGCCACAUUGGGACUGAGAUACGGCCCAGACUCCUACGGGAGGCAGCAGUGGGGAAUAUUGCACAAUGGGCGGAAGCCUGAUGCAGCGACGCCGCGUGCGGGAUGAAGGCCUUCGGGUUGUAAACCGCUUUCGCCUGGGACGAAGCGUGAGUGACGGUAACGGUAAAAGAAGCACCGGCUAACUACGUG